rnacentral:snRNA from 1 species
AUACUUAACUAACAGAAGAGAAACCAUGAUCAUGAAGGUGUUUUUCCCAGGCUAUCGCUUAACCAUUGCACUCUGGGACUUAUGACCCCUGCAUUUCCCAAUUGUGGGAAACUGGACUUAAGAAUUUGUGGUAAUGGGGAACCAUAUUCGCACUCUUCCCCU